UACAGAGGUGCCGAGCGUUAGGCGGAAUCACUGGGCUUAAAGCGUGUGUAGGCGGGUUCGUAAGUACCUUGUGAAAUCCCACGGCUCAACCGUGGAACUGCUUGGUAUACUGCGAGUCUUGAGUUAUUCAGGGGCAACCGGAACAAAUGGUGGAGCGGUGAAAUGCGUAGAUAUCAUUUGGAACGCCAAUGGUGAAAACAGGUUGCUGGGGAUAUACUGACGCUGAGACACGAAAGCCAGGGGAGCAAACGGG
rnacentral:rRNA from 1 species